GAGCUGGUAGUGGGGGGGUGUGGAGGCGGCGCGAUGCGUUGACUAACCGGUACUAAUGAACCGUGAGGCUUAACCUUACAACGCCGAAG
rnacentral:rRNA from 1 species